GACGAACGCUGGCGGCGUGCCUAAUACAUGCAAGUCGAACGCUUUUUCUUUCACCGGAGCUUGCUCCAUCGAAAGAAAAAGAGUGGCGAACGGGUGAGUAACACGUGGGUAACCUGCCCAUCAGAAGGGGAUAACACUUGGAAACAGGUGCUAAUACCGUAUAACACUAUUUUCCGCAUGGAAGAAAGUUGAAAGGCGCUUUUGCGUCACUGAUGUAUGGACCCGCGGUGCAUUAGCUAGUUGGAGAGGUAACGGCUCACCAAGGCAACGAUGCAUAGCCGACCUGAGAGGGUGAUCGGCCACACUGGGACUGAGACACGGCCCAGACUCCUACGGGAGGCAGCAGUAGGGAAUCUUCGGCAAUGACGAAAGUCUGACCGAGCAACGCCGCGUGAGUGAAGAAGGUUUUCGGAUCGUAAAACUCUGUUGUUAGAGAAGAACAAGGAUGAGAGUAAAAUGUUCAUCCCUUGACGGUAUCUAACCAGAAAGCCACGGCUAACUACGUGCCAGCAGCCGCCGUAA
rnacentral:rRNA from 1 species